ACAGCCACAUCAUGUUGAAACACUGGUCCCAUACAAUGACCAAAGUUAAGCAAUGUUAAGCCUGGUCAGUACUUAGAUGGGUGACCACUUGGAAAUGCCAAUUGCUGUAAG